ensembl:lncRNA
AUCUAGUUUGCUGACUGUAUAUUAAUGAUUGUACACACACACCCAUGUAGGUCAUAAAACAGAAAAUGGUCUGAUAGGAGUUCAGACUCGGCCCCUGCUUCAGGUGCAGCUGCACAUAAAAAGGAGCAGCAGGCAGCGUCUGCAUCUGCAGAUCUGGUCUCAGCACUCGGACCUGCAGUUUCUCCUGGUAACGCAGCAAAAUGUACGGACACAACCAAGGCCCACCUGGUUACCCGAACUAUCCUCCGCAGGGGGGUUGCCCUCCGCAGGGGGGUUACCCUCCACAGGGUUGUCCUCCAGGGACUGUCCCACCAACCUGUCCUCCUCAGCACCAUGGGCCACAUGGAGGACACGGACAUGGGCACGGACCUGGUUCUGGUUGUUGUCAAGGCCAAGGAUCCUGCCAAGGGCACGGGCACGGACAUGGACAUGGACACGGACAUGGACAUGGACAUGGACAUGGACACAAGGACAAGAAAAAGGACAAGAAAAAGGACAAACAUAAGCACAAGCACGGUCACAAGCAUGGCCACUGUCACAAGAAAGGAAAGGACAGCCACGGGUCUUCCAGCAGCUCCUGCAGCAGCGACUCCGACUAGAUGGACAAAACCCGGAAACCUUCAUGCUCCUGUCUCAUCAUCUUGAGCUUUAACACAGUUUUGCUUAAAAAAAAAAAUCAGUCCAGCUUUUGUCAGAAAAUAAUAAUAAUCUAAACUUUGAUGGAUACCAAAUUAAUCAUCUGUCAAGUUACUUUAGAUCAUUGUGAGCUUUAACAAGCAUUAUUUUAUCCAGUGUUUGUCAGCAAAGAAAUAAAAGUGAUUUCAGUGCCUGGUCAGUUUUUUUUUUUUAAAUUAAUCUCACCCUGUCUUGUUUUUAUACAAUACCCCAUAUCCCUUUGUUUUUUUUAUUGGUUUUGUUUGACCAUAUAACCAAACUUUAUUUACCCAGGUGACUGAACUCAUUUGAUCAGCCACACCUUGCUCACAGCGGUGCUCCACACCCUGAAACUGCCACUGUUGUGACUCUUAUCUCAUGAUAGCUUUUGCAAAUCAGCUGUUUACAUGGAAAAGUUCACAGACCUGCUGCCUCUUGUUUUUGCAUGUAGAAAUGUUACUGAAAGGUGCACACUCACUCUGUGGUGAAGAUGAAUUCAUUCUUUAUUUAAGCAGAAAAACUGCUUAAUGUAAAUAUAAUUUGAAGUUUAACACACAAAGUAUUAGCAGAAAAAACCCCAAAUUGAUUCCACCUUAAUGUGCUUAUUUUUUUUCUUGUUGCAAAGAUAACUGUGUGUACAGUACACCCAGGGGUACUUUGAUAUUUAAAUCAUAUUUUUAAAGUUGUUCGUAUAGUUGGUUUGCAAAGAUAUGUCUUUAAAGGAGCCUCAGUAGAUAAAACUCAAGCCAAUGCUAGGAAUACUUUGUCUCUAUCCUCAAAAUUCAAUUUGUUUCUCACGACAGCGUUGCUCUGGGUGCUCACAGGUUAAUAAUUAAGGAUUUAUUAUGUCUGGAAAAUAUACUCAGACUUGUGGGUUUUACUGUGCUUUCUCAUGAAUAAGGGGCUGACCAAUUUUAGCUUUUGUUUGUUUUAUUUUAUUAAAUUCACUUGUGUUUUGUUGAUGGGUCAUGUCGCCAUGAGUUAUAAUGCGGAGAUGUUGGUUUAAACAAACAAAUAAUGAGUAUUUAUUUGGUGUUAAGCAAAAAAAUCUAUGAAGCAGGAAUGCACAGACUGAAAACAGGGAAACCAACAGUGAUUUGGUGAAGAGCAACGGGUAGGCCAGACUACAUGGACACAGGGA